ensembl:lncRNA
AUGGAGUUUUACAGUCUAUAUUUAAAAAAUUGUAUGUUUGUAACAAAUAAAGUAUGCGGAAACGUGAAUGACAGUCUGGUGUUGGUUGUCUCUCAUUUAAGGAAUUACGUGUUGACUGGGAGGGAAGUACCACACGCCAUCUACUGGGGUUCAUAAAUGGGUCUGGAAUUGGGUGAGUUUCCACUUGAAGUGACUUAAAAGCUGUUUGCACAUUUCAUCUGAAAUACAGCCAUUUAGUUCCAGACCCUCUGGGUUUACAUAACCCUUUUCUAGUUAGUAAGCAGUCUAUGGAGUAAAUCAAAGUUGCAAAUGGUUUCAUGCUUUGGUUCAUAUUCCAGAGGAAGUGCUUAUUGCUUCCCCUAAUUUCUUUCUCUUCUACCUCUUCUUAGGCCCUAUCACUUCAAAUGGCUGUAAAGAAACUCAUGUGUUCACUUGUCGUUUAUCAUAACUAACUGCUUAGAAAGUAGGUUAAACCAGUGUUGUAUACCCCAAGCUAAAGGAAAAAUAAAAAUUUUGUAUUGAUCCUGGCUGUGGUUCCAAACUUUUUGGUCUCAGGAAGCCUUUUACUUCCUUAAAAUUCUCUAAAGACCUUCAAGGAGCAAUCCUACUUCAGGCCUGUAUCAGUUGAUACCUAUCAUAUUAAAAACAACUGUUUUAAGACCACAGUACACAUUCCAUCUGCCUCAAAGCAGUGACACCACAUCAUUUAGCUUCUGGAAAACAGUGUAAACUUGUGAGAAUGAAAGUGAACAAAGCAGCUAACAGGAAAGUAGUUCACACUUCUGGACUCCCUGACGGUCUUAGGGCUGCUGGAGGUUUCUGGAUCACUCUUUGAGACCCACUGAACUAGCUUGGUUAUAUAAAUUAUACUUUUAUAUAACAUGUUGCCUAAGUUACCCACACGAAGUCCACUUAAACCCCCAAGUAACUAAACUUGAGAAAAGUUUGCAAAUGGAAUCAUCAAGCGUUGUAUUAGUAGUCCCCUCGCUGGGGAAAUGUGGGGCUUUUAUUAGCAGAACCCUUUAGUGUGCAUCAGUCACCUCCCCCCCACUCCACCACCAGUCCGGCUGCUUCGAGUUUUUGAGCAGGUUUGGGUGUAACCUGAGAAGCUGCAUUUCUAACAAGUUCCCAGGUGCUGCUGCUCCUAGUUGAGGAUCACACUUUGGGAUUCUGCAGCAGAAAUCACAAAAGUUGGGAAAAGUAGCUUUUGCCACCAAUUUAAGGUGGCAAGAGGUCAGGAAGUCUCUACCCUGAUGCAUCGGUUUGCCAUAGCCCUGCUGAAUUUUUUUUCUUGAUGUGAAGCUGUCACCUCGAAUUUAAGGACGAAAUGUAACCAGGCUAUAUAGUCUGCAGUUUUAUUGGAGCCAGUGCCUCAAGGAAUAGGGCUGUUACCUCAUAGUUACGGUAUUUUGGAUGUUGUGAGCUAGGUUCUGUCCCCGAAUCUGUCAUAAACUGAUAGUGUGAGUCUGAGAUAGUAUCUUUAACAUUUAAAAAUCCUUAAGGUCCUACAACAGUGUCCCGUUUCCCCAGAGAAGACACUGGGUCUUAGGAAAAUGAGAGCCACCUGGUGGUCAGUACUGAAAUCUUUAAUAACCUUUGUGAGAUCAUACCAUUUGUAAACUCAUGCAUACUAUAUGCCAGGUGUUACACUAGGUGUAGAAAAUGUGGUCCAUGUUCCAAAUGGAAUUUAACAGUUAUUCCAGAGAAGAAAAGCUUUUAGGAAGAACUAGGAGGAACUAAGUUACAUUGGACCGACGUAUAUUUAGGAUCAAAUGUUUUGGUCUGUCUGACCCUAGAUCUCCAGGAGGCUCAGAUGGUUUGCAGCUCAAAUUUACUAGACAUAUUUCCUUCCUCAGUAAAACACCUCUGUGCGGUCUCAGAUCCUGAGAAGCUACUUUCCCAGACCCCAGGGAGGAAGCGGGCCCAGCAUAGGUGAACAGAGGAAGGAAGGAGUAGGAGAGUUCGCUCAGAGCCCUGGUCCGCAUUCUCGCCACACAGGACCUGGGAGGGGAGAGGUCCCAUUGCUGGGAUGUGUGCCCCAAGCUUAUCCAGCUAGUGAGCACCAGCACUGGGCUUUGACCAGGCCCCAUAGGUCCUCCUUCUUGCCCACCCUUCCAUCAGUUCAGUCGCUCAGUCGUGUCCAACUCUGAAACCCCGUGAACUGCAGCAUGCCAGGCCUCCAGUCCAUCACCAACUCCUGGAGUCCACCCAAACCUAUGUCCAUUGAGUCGG